rnacentral:rRNA from 1 species
UACGGAGGGUGCGAGCGUUGUCCGGAAUCACUGGGCGUAAAGGGUGCGUAGGCGGGUCUUUAAGUCAGGGGUGAAAUCCUGGAGCUCAACUCCAGAACUGCCUUUGAUACUGAGGAUCUUGAGUCCGGGAGAGGUGAGUGGAACCGCGAGUGUAGAGGUGAAAUUCGUAGAUAUUCGCAAGAACACCAGUGGCGAAGGCGGCUCACUGGCCCGGUACUGACGCUGAGGCACGAAAGCGUGGGGAGCAAACAGG